GAUUAACGCUGGCGGCGUGCAUAACACAUGCAAGUCGAACGAUAAAACUUUGUAGACUUCUUCUGAAAGACACUAAGCGGAUUAGUGGCGAACGGGUGAGUAACGCGUGAGUAUUCUGCCUUACUCAAGGAGAUAGCCUUAGGAAACGAAGAAAAAUACCCUAUAAAAGCAUGCAAGGACACGUUAGAACGGUCGAGGUGGUAGCGGCGUAUGAUGGACUUGCGUGUGAUUAGCUGGUUGGUGAGGUAAAAGCUCGCUAAGGCAACGAUCAGUAGCCGGCUUGGGAGCGUGUACCGCGCCACUGAGACUGGGACCCGUCCCAGACUCCUGCGAGCGGCAGCAGUGGGGAAUUUUGCACAAUGGGGGAGACCCUGAUGCAGCGCGGCCGCGAGAUUUAGAAGGCCGUCGGGUUGUAAAAAUCUUUUUUAUAGGGAGAAAAUGACGGUACUAUACGAAUAAGGUCCGGCUAAUUACGUG
rnacentral:rRNA from 1 species